rnacentral:tRNA from 1 species
GUCGUUGUAGUAUAGUGGUAAGUAUUCCGGCCUGUCACGCGGGUGACCCGGGUUCGAUCCGCGGCAACGGCG